rnacentral:lncRNA from 1 species
UUUUUUUUUUUUUUUUGGCCUGAACUCAUUCAUUUCAACUGGUGCAGAUUUUCCUUUCUUGUUCAACUCCAGAAUGAAAGAAAAAUUCAUGGAGUUCUUUGAUAUAGCAGCUAUUUUUAGCUACAUUUAGAAUUAGCUAUUUUCAGCUACAUUUAGAAUUAGUAUUCUAGAAUCACCGUCUAUUUUCCUCUCCCCUCAAAGGUGAUAUUCAUUUGACACAAAAAUAUCUUCUAAAAUUUUUAUACAACCUCAAAAAUCAUUAUUUUCAUCUAUGUGCUAAGAGAGACCAUGGAAAUAUGGAGAUGAAGGCUAGGAAGAUAUUUCUUGUGCUCAUGUCUCAUUCCUAAGCCAUCAAACAGAUCUCAGUAGAACUAUAUGGAUAGUCUAUGAUGAUUGAAGAGGCAUGGCCUCCUUACACAGCAAGGUGCAAGAUCUUUGAUCUUCACAUACUUAACCAUUGUUUUUCUUUCAAGAUACAGAUCUCCUUUAUCAUAGAUAUACUUGGUCUUGCAUGUCUUUUGCAGACAAGAGGCCUUCAUUUAUAGAUUUAAAAAAUCAAAGUUAAGCAGGAAUCCAUCUUAGGUACUGACACUCAACCAGAUAAGUUGAUAAUAGAAAUUUUCUAGGGAAAUUCAAUUCUGGUGAAAAUUAUUUGUGAGGGGCUGUGAUGAGGAAAUGCACAGAAGAACAACAUAACAAUUUAAAAAGCCAAGAAUAAUGGUUAGUCGCUAUGCGUGUGAGGUUGAGGCAGGAGGAUCACCAUGAAUUUGAAGCUAGGCAGAGCUACAGUGUGAUAUCCUGUCUCUGACAGAAAACCAAUUGUUUCUAUUUUCAUCUAUGGCUCUGUGAAGGCUUUCACUUAUUUCCUGUCAUCAUUGUACCAGACUGACAAACAAUGAUGCCCAAUGUGCAGCCAUUACGUGAGUCAGUUUUUAUAACGGGAAGGCAAUCACGGAGCAGUUUGGGGACUUAUUUCAGCUGAAUUUAGCCUGUUCCCAUAUUUCUGUAGGUUUUGUAACAAGUGACUGUGUCUUCACCACCAAGGUUAUUCUUAACAUAAUUUGGACCACUAUAAGGUAAAUCAAAGGAUUGUGUAGAUGGGCAUCAUCCCUGCAUCAUAUAAGAAUUACUUUCUCCUUGCUUGUCUCCAUGUAUGAGGGGUGGGCAGUGUUUGAGACAUGUUCUUAUAAUGUUUCUUGCCUGUUGUUUGGAUUACAUUUUACAAAAUAAAAAUUCAAUCUGAAGUUUAUAAACUGUUUUCUAUAGCACAGAAACUAUGACCCUCUGUUCACCCAAACUUUUCAAAAUAAUAAGCCCAACUGUGUUCUGUGAACCUUCUAAAACCAUGAAAUGAGUGUGCUCAUGUUCUAUCUUAAUUGGUGUUUUAACAAAGUGUUUUAACAAUACAAAAAUUCUUCCCUUGAAGUACUGCAAUAUGAACACAGUACAUUAGUAGUCUGCCUUAUUUUAAAACAAAGAAACAUCAUAGAUGCAGAGAAAAGAUUCUGGUAGGACAUAUGACUCAUCUAAUUUUUAUUUCUGCAAACACACCUUACACUCUCGGGAUUCUGUCAAUGUCACUGAUGACAUAUAAUUUAGUUAAAACUUGUUGCUUACAUGCAUGCAUGACAAAAGAUAGCCAACAUCUUUUUUCAGAGAAUAUUUUAUAAUUCUUAGUUUACCCCAAGAAAACAGGGGGUUAUAUACAAAUUUGUAGAAGGAAAAAAAAAAGGGUCCAACUAAUUACAACUACCUCCCAUUUAAAUCCGUCAUGUAGAGGAGUGAUUAAUUUUAAUUAAUCUACUUUUGUAAAUAGAUGACUUCAGCUAGCUAGUGUUUACAGUGGAGAACUAUUGUUGUAUCUUCUUGUGAAUGGGAUUUCAUAACAAACAGAAGUGUUUACUGCGUAUUAAUAGUGACCAUUCUGAGGAGGUGACAGAUGUUGGCUGAUUAGUAAUGUGUAUAUAUGAAACAUGUGAGAACUGAUGAUCCUUUCGAUGUUUGUUUUAGUGUGUGCCAUUGUAUAAAUCAGACCAUUACUGUAUCAGAGUAAAAGUAAUGGAAGUGUAUAAUGAGAAAUAGCUACCUUUCAAAAUAAAUGUUUCAAUAAAUUAAAAGCUGAUUCAAAACAA